UACGAAGGGUGCAAGCGUUACUCGGAAUUACUGGGCGUAAAGCGUGCGUAGGUGGUUUUUUAAGUCCGUUGUGAAAGCCCUGGGCUCAACCUGGGAAUGGCAGUGGAUACUGGAAAGCUAGAGUGCGGUAGAGGGUAGUGGAAUUCCCGGUGUAGCAGUGAAAUGCGUAGAGAUCGGGAGGAACAUCUGUGGCGAAGGCGGCCACCUGGACCAACACUGACACUGAGGCACGAAAGCGUGGGGAGCAAACAGG
rnacentral:rRNA from 1 species